rnacentral:lncRNA from 1 species
CUCCGGGGUGGCACACACACCCUGGUGGCUGUGGGCAGGAGACGGCAGUUUCUUGCCACACGGACCUCUCCAUUCGGCUGCUUGCGUGUCCUCACAACAUGGCCACGGGCUGAGUGAUCAAGGAGGAGGCCGCGAUGUCUUCUGGGACCCAGAAGUCACCCUUCCUCAUCUCUGCAGCCUUGUAUUGGUAACAGCAGUCAGCUUUCCCGAGGUGAGCGGGGAUUCCGUCCAGCAGGGAUACCAGCAGAUGAGAAUCAUCGGGGGGCACAGGGGACAUCUGGAAGGCUGGCGACCAUGGCUUCUUUCCAGGUCUUGCAGAAGAGGCUGCAGCCCCAGCAGCACACAACUUCCCCGUGCCAUGCCCAUCGCCCACCUGAUGAUCGUGACUCCGACCAGCCAGGCCGAGCCAGUCCAAAGACUCUCCGAGAAGUUUCCAUCUGCAGAGAGGUUUGGAACAGAGCCUGAAUCCUGACAGAUCCCGGGCCUUUCUCCUGCUGGUACCCUCGUCUCCAGGGAAGGCCCCUCUGAACUCCCGGAGGUUGCAGAGAGAAGAAGAGACCAUCAGAGGGAGGGAACACUGGUACACAUCCCGCAAGGUGUCACCCACCCUCAUGAUGUACCAGAGCCCACGGCCUGCGUGUGUGCAUGUGCAUGUGCGUGCGUGUGUGUGUGUGUGUGUGUGUGUGUGCCCGGGAUGGGCAACAUAUUGGAAGGAGCUACACUGGGUCCCAGUGCAGCAAAAGCUUGGCCCCCGUAGUCUCCAAAUCACCCCUGCAGGGUAGAUAUGACUGUCCCCACCCUGCAGAAGCGGCUCAGCACUUGCCUGAGCUCGUAGGACCUCGCCCGUGACGCAGCCACCAUGGGCGCCGGUGGCUCUGUGGCUGCGGUGCAAAGGCUCCUCAUGGCUCUGUUUUGGGGGGUCAGGGGGUAGUGGGGCCUGAGGCCCAGAAUGGCACUUCUCCUCCCCAACUGCACAUCCAGUCCUGCGGAGGGGAGUGCGUGUGUGCGGCCUGCCCAGGGCUGUGGCCCCGCGGGGGCUCCGACGUGCGGAGAACCCCUGGGGAGGUUUCCAUUAAACCAUCGGCUCUGGCCAGAUGUUCUCAGUUUUCAAGCCACAUUA